UUUGAUCCAGGCUCAGAUUGAACGCUGGCGGCAGGCCUAACACAUGCAAGYCGAGCGGCAGCACGGGAAGCUUGCUUCCUGGUGGCGAGCGGCGGACGGGUGAGUAAUGCAUAGGAAUCUGCCCGGUAGUGGGGGAUAACCUGGGGAAACCCAGGCUAAUACCGCAUACGUCCUACGGGAGAAAGCAGGGGCUCUUCGGACCUUGCGCUAUCGGAUGAGCCUAUGUCGGAUUAGCUGGUUGGUGAGGUAAUGGCUCACCAAGGCGACGAUCCGUAGCUGGUCUGAGAGGAUGAUCAGCCACAUCGGGACUGAGACACGGCCCGAACUCCUACGGGAGGCAGCAGUGGGGAAUAUUGGACAAUGGGCGCAAGCCUGAUCCAGCCAUGCCGCGUGUGUGAAGAAGGCCCUCGGGUUGUAAAGCACUUUCAGUGGGGAAGAAAGCCUUCCGGUUAAUACCCGGGAGGAAGGACAUCACCCACAGAAGAAGCACCGGCUAACUCCGUGCCAGCAGCCGCGGUAAUACGGAGGGUGCGAGCGUUAAUCGGAAUUACUGGGCGUAAAGCGCGCGUAGGUGGCUUGAUAAGCCGGUUGUGAAAGCCCCGGGCUCAACCUGGGAACGGCAUCCGGAACUGUCAGGCUAGAGUGCAGGAGAGGAAGGUAGAAUUCCCGGUGUAGCGGUGAAAUGCGUAGAGAUCGGGAGGAAUACCAGUGGCGAAAGCGGCCUUCUGGACUGACACUGACACUGAGGUGCGAAAGCGUGGGUAGCAAACAGGAUUAGAUACCCUGGUAGUCCACGCCGUAAACGAUGUCGACUAGCCGUUGGGUCCUUCGCGGACUUUGUGGCGCAGUUAACGCGAUAAGUCGACCGCCUGGGGGAGUACG
rnacentral:rRNA from 1 species